ensembl:lncRNA
GUGUUUACAGGGCCAACAAUGGAACAGGAGGAAUCUGAAAAAGAACGUCUAGAGAGGCAAGAAAAGAGCCAACAGGGGCAACGUCAUGGAAGCCAAGGAAGAGAGAGUUUCAAGAAGCAAGCGAUCAGUACGGUCAAGUGCUGGAGAAAGAAGUCAAAGGAGGAAAGCUGGAAUGAAGAAAACAGUUUGGGCUUGAGGCUGAAGUGAACUCGCCCUUCCAGCCAGGAAGAGGAGCUAGAGGGGACCAGACCCUGCUUGGUCUGCUUACACGUGGCAGACAAACAGGAGAGGGCCACAGCUCUUACUCAUUUCUGAGGCAAGGGAAGAAGAGCAAGAACCAGGAGAUAAGGCCGUACAUGAACAGUGACCCUGUCUGGCAGGAAAACAUGAGGAGCAGCCAAGAAAGGGAUGGUGAGAACAAUGGAUGUUUCCUCUAUGGUACUUCCCCAAGAGCAGGAAAGUGUUUGUAGAAACCAUACAGGGGAAACGAGGGCUUCUCCCCAUCUGAGGGUUGAGGGUGUCUCUCACGGCCCUCACGAGAUGGCUUCCACAUCAUAAUCCACGCCUGGUGGAAAGGAAGCACAGCCAGAGAGGAGGGGGGUCUCCCCUGUUCUCUCCUUCAUUUGUCACAAAAGCUCACAAGGAGUGAAUGCCGGCAGCCUGACCCAACACCUUCACCAUAUCUAACACUCCAGACUAAUAAGCAGAAAGGACUUGCUGCCCAACAACCAGGAGCGCAAACAGCAGACAGCCUCCAGCUGACAGAUUCUUCAGAGUCUGAGUCAGCUUCAAAGAGAUCCCUCACCUGACCUCCCGCCAUUCCCACGCAGCCUACAUCCGAUUAAUCUUCUGGAGAUAUUUUUAUUUUGUUGUGCUUUUAGAGAACAAGCUUUUAAAUUUACUAAUUAUUCCUCUUUAAAAAGUUAUUUAAUGCCCUGCUAUUCAAAGUAUGCUCCACGGGGAUCAGCAGCCUGGCCAUCAUCACCAAGGAGUGAGGACAUGCGAGACCUCAGACCUACUGAAUCAGAAUCCACUUUUAACGAGUGUGGUUCAGAAGGCAGACCUCUAACUCCGGAUCUUGAAGGAAAUGAAGAAGCAGCGUUCCUAUCCUCUUCCCAAUUCAGCCCCCUCUACUCUCAAAGAGGGCUUCAGGGAAGCAGUGUUCUCUCUCUGGGGAGUCAAUUUACUGGCAGCCCCACCUUGUGGUGGAAAUAGCCAUACAAGAUAAUGAGGUGUCCAUGGAAUUUGCUACCAUUCAGUCUUUUUCUGGCUUACUGCACUAGCCUUUUCUGUAAUUUCUAUCAAUUAGCAUGACUUCAUUUUUUCCUGUUACUCCCUUACCUCUCCCUUACCCUUUCUCUCUGGCUCCUUUCUCUCUGUUCCUCCCCAUUUUUAUUUAGGUGUUGCAACUAGUUGCCUAGGGCCAGGGUUCACAUGUUUUGAUUGGCUGUCAGAGUAUUUUAAGAAAAUCUUAAUUUGAAUGGCUUUAGAUAAGCAUGUGCUCCUGACACCACCACAGGCCCACCAAUCCCUAUUGUCUUGCACCCAGCCCAGCCUGAUGCCCUAAUUUACAUUACUUCCCCGACCCCCGUGGGCAUUUGAGUUUGUGAAUCAGCAGUGUUCCUGUCCUUCUGCCUGCUGGAAGACCUUCAGGGGUGAAGAGUUUAUCAUCCCCCACUCUAAAGGGAAUCAAAGUACUGCUAUUGACCAAUUCCUUUUUACGCAUUUCCCUCAUUUUUAUCAUGGGAUUUCCCACAUCAGUUAUUUCCUUUCUCUCUCUGAAAUUCUCACAUUACAUCAUCUCUUUCCUAUUCUCUUUACGUGGUACCAUGUCUUAGGAAUGUGAACUUGAUAAAUUAGUACUAUACCGGAUGUGAAUUUUAAAAUAAUUAAUGUCUAAUCAUUCCUGGCACCUUACUCAAUCUCAGUCAUCAUUAACAUUAUGAGACCCACGGUUGCAUUAUUUUCUUCACCAUACUUUAUCAGUACAUUCUUCUUCAUUCUCCCGGAAACCAAUUAUCUUCUUAUAUUCAAAAUCCACACAAGAAGCAUAUUUUCCAUAUGAUACAGCAAUUCCACUCCUAGUGUACAUCCACGCUAAAGAACAAAAUUCAGCUGAGUAAGUUUGUAGAUGAAAGCAGCUUUAUCCAAUGAUUCAUGAAUGGAGCAGCGUGCCAGCUAGCAAACAGAAGGGAGCUCUGAGGAGCUGUACAAAAUGGAAGGCUUUGACAGGUAGAAGGGGGAAAGACAGGAUUGUUUCAGGCAAGGCCACCUUCCUUUGGAGGACAGAGGGAUCUAUCGGGUGGAUUACCAGGAAAUUCCAGACUGACCAGAUAAGUCUACAUUCCUGGGGGAGGCUGAAACUGCAAUUAGGUCGUAUGAAGUCUCAGUUUGGUGACACGAGCUUAACACAAGUGACUCCAUUUUGAGCCUGCUGUCUCUUUUUUACACCCAAGAGGAAUGAAAACAUUUGUCCAUGCAAAAAUUUGCAUGCAACUGUUUACAGCAGCAUUAUUCAUGGUAACCAGAAGGUGGAAACAACCUAAAUGUCCAUCAAUAGGUGAAUGGAUAAAUAAAAUGUGGUAUAUCCAGACAAUAGACUAUGAUUCAGCCAUAAAAAGCAAUGAAGUACUGAUAUAUGCUACAAUAUGGAUGAAACUUGAAAAUAUUACAGGAAGUCAAAGAAGGCAGUCACAAAGGGCCACAUAUUUUACGAUUCCAUUUAGAGAAAAUGUAUAGAAUAGCUAAAUCUAUGCAGACAAAGAGUAUAUUAAUGGUUGCCCAGGGCUGAGGUGGGGGUUGGUUUGCAGGUAGAGGGUAACAGAUCCAGGGUUUCUUUUGGGGGUGAUGAAAAUAUUCUAAAACUGAUUGUCAUGAUGGAUGCACAAUUCCGUCCAGUAUUUAAUGAAUUUCCUAAAAAGCCAUUGAAUUGUACACUUUAAAUGGGUGAAUUAUAUGGUAUGUGAAUUAUAUCCCAGUAAAGUUGCUUUAAAAUCCAUAUACUAAACUUCGCAUAUUUAGUCAAAUGAUUUUCAACAAGGGUGACAAGCCCAUUCAAAGAGGGAAAGGACAAUGUUUUCAAUAAAGUUGUUGGGGAAACUGGAUAUCCAUCUGCAAAAGAAUGAAUUUGGAUCUUUAACUUAUAUCGUAUACAAAAAUUAACUCAAAACGGAUCAAAGACGUCAAACUAUAAAACUCUUAGCAGAAAACAUACGGGAAGCUUCAUUGCAUGGAAUUUGACAAUGAUUUUUUGGCUAUAACACCAAAAGAACAGGUAACAAAAGUAAAAAUACAUCAAAAUUUAAAACUUCUGCACAUUAAAGGACACAAUCAACAGAGUGACAACCUUCAGAAAAGGAGAAAAUCUUUGCAAACCAUAUAUCUGAUAAGAGUUUAAUAUCCAGAAUAUAUAAGGAACUCCUACAACUCAAAACAUAUAACCAUAUUAAAAAACGGUGAAGGACUUAAAUAGACAUUUCUCUAAAGAAGAUACACAAAUGACCAAUGAGCAUAGGAAAAGAUGCUCGACAUCACUAAUCAUUAGGGAAAGGCAAAGACAACCACAAUGAGAUAUCACCUCUUAUCCAUUAGGAGAGCUGCUGCCAAAAAAAAAAAAAAAAAAACACACAGAAAAUAACCACUGUUGGGGGUUGGGGAGGGUGUGGAGAAAAUGGAACCCUUGUGCACUGUUGGUAGAAGUGUAAAAUGGUAUAUCCACUGUGGAAAACAGUAUGGCAGUUCCUCAAAAAAUUAAAAAUAGAACUACCAUAUAAUCCAGCAAUAGUACCUCUGCAUAAAAAAGAAUUGAAAGCAAGGUGUUGAAGAGAGAUUUGUGCACCCAUGUUCACAACAGCAUUCUUCACAAUAGCCAAAAGUGGAGGCAACCCAAAUGCCCAUCAACAGAUGAAUGAAUAAAUAAAAUGUGUUAUAUACAUAUAAUGGAAUAUUAUUCAGCCUUAAAAAGCAAGGAAAUUCUGACACAUGCUAUAACAUGAAUAAACUUUGAGGACAUUCUGCUAAGUAAAUAAGCCAGUCACACAAAGACGAAUACUGUAUUAUUCCACGUGUAUAAGGUACCUAGAGUCAUCAAGAUCAUAGAGACAGCAAGUAGAAUGGUAGUUGCCAGGGGCUGGGAGAAGAGGGGAAUAAGGAGUUGUUCAAUGGGUCCAGAGCUUCAGUUUUACAAGAUGAAAAAUUCUGGAUUUGGUUCACAAUAAUGUGAAUAUAUUUCAUACUACUGAAUUGUACACUUAAAAAUGGUUAAGAUGGUAAAUAUGAUGUUUAUUCUAGUACAAUUAAAAAUAAAAUAAAUAAUAAAUCCAUAUACAUUGGCCGGAGCUGGGAUGAGCGAUCCCCCAUUUACUGAGUUAACUGUUAACUUUAAAAAAAAAAGAAGUCCGUUGCCUUACAGAGAGCAGGCCCCUCCACUGCUUCAGGGUAGCUUAGUGUUUCUUUUUAAAGUCAGAAUAGGAUGGAAUAUGCACUAUCUGCUAACUUGAACAUUUUCUUAGGAAGUCUUCCUUUUAAUUAAAGAGACUUGCAAUACUAUUUGUAUCCAGGAAAUAUCGACAAAUAGACUCCAAAUGAGUGUUCUGAUCCUGGGGCAUUGGUAGAAAGUGGCAGGCGCAGACUGGGCUCCCUCCGCCAGCCAUAUAUUUUGACUCCAGAAUCCCUGUAGCCUGAAAUGGUUCCUUCCACUGUCAGCCUACCCAAGCCUAGCUCAGCUUUCUAUCCCCCCAUUUCUUUGACCCUUUUUUUCUCUCUCCCUUUUCUCUUGGAAGCAUGACAAGGCUGCAACAGCCUUAUGCCAAAGUCUAUCAGAGGUGGAAGUUGUUGACCAAAAUCUCCUAGAACGCAUUCCCGAUUUAGCAGAAAAAAUAUUAGAAUCUCAUCGUGGGCAAAGGUCAACAUAGACCCAUGGGCUCCAUCUUCCGGAUCCCUUAUCUCUGUUCUUGCAGCGCUCUGGCUGCCAAGUUCUCUGCACGCACUCGAUUCUCAUGACGCUGCGGGCACCUGCUCCCCGGCUCUGGCUUCUUUCCUGCUCCGUUUCCCCGUUGCCCCUCUGCUUGGGGUUAUCUGCAUGUUCUGCUGUGAGCAGUGGUGAUGGGUGAAUCUCAACUCCAGACGACAUACCUGAUUCUAGUCUCCGACCCUAGACCACUUUGCGAUCUUGAGGCCACAGCUGUUUCCUAACCCAUGGCUUCUGGGGAUAGGUACACUGCAGAAUCACCAGUGUGAAUACCUGGAGUUUAAAAAAAUAUAUGGAUGCCUUCUGAAUGAAGAGUUCCAGGGCGGGCUCAGGAGUGUGUCUUGUGAAAAGGACCCCAGGGAAUCCUGAUGACAUGUAGAGUUUGAAACCAGUGUCCAACCUUUGUUCUUUCUUUGACUGGCCUUCAGAACCACUCUGCUCCCUUGACUCCCACCCUCUGAGAACCCCAGAAAUUAUGGUCUUCCUUCAUACAGGGGCAGUGCAAUAAAAUAAUAUUUAGUUUAAAUUUGGGCUCAUUUCUUUUUAUUCCUCAGCCCUUCCACCAAUAAAACUAGAUGAUGGGGCUGAGGAUUAGUGACUAAGAAAGGCAGAUCAUGGAAGACAAAACACAGGUUUUUGUCUCAAUUUCUAAAACAGACUCUUGAAAUUUAUGCCAGAAAGAACAGAUUGGAAAGCCAAGGAAUUCAAUAGCAAGAGUCUGUUCUUUUGAGCAGUCUAUUCAGAUCCAAAAAGGUAAGGACUUGGUACAUAAAGUUUAUGCCAUAAGCAAAAAAGAUGGGAAGAUGCUUUGAUUAAGAAAGAGCCAGGGGGCCACUUUGGUGGCCCAGGGUUCGCUGGUUCAGAUCCUGGGUGCGGACCUAUACACUGCUCAUCAAGCCAUGCUGUGGUGGCAUGCCACAUAGAAGAACUAGGAGGACCCACAACUAGGAUAUACAACUAUGUACUGGGGCUUUAGGGAGGAAAAAAAAAAGAGGAAGAUUGGCAACAGAUGUUAGCUCAGGGCCAAUCUUUAAAAAAAAAAAGAAAGAGCCAGUGUUCCCAUUUUGAAGGAAUUAAAGUUAGUCCAGCAACAAAGGAUGAAAGGAUGGAGGAGAUUUAGUCACUGGGACCUUGUGCUGCACCCCCACUCAGCACAGCCAUGGGAAGGGACCCAAGUCACAUCCAGUGAAUCCUGGGGAGGCAGCAGGCUUCCCAGAUAAGCCUUGGCUUCAACGAGGUGCAGAGCAGCCGAGCUACAGAAAUGGCAUCAGGUUGUGUCAGCCAAGAGGGCACAUGCUGAUCUUCUAAGUCUCCCUUAGCCCCAGAGGGGCAAGAAGACUUCCCAAGGUUUCCCAGGCCUCCAGGAGGGUUGCAGAAGUGUCACGGAGAGGAAUGAUGGGUGCGAAAGGGUUCUGUGGCUACAAGAAGAGGUUGUCAUCAGAAGGAGUGGCCUGGAGCAUACGGGCUGGAGUCCACAGCUGGACCCCUGGUUUCUGGAGCACAACUGAUGCAGCUGACCGAAGACCAGACAGACAAGUUCCAUCUCAGGGGAGGCUGGAGAGGACUGAGAACCAUCCAGGAUCACAUGGAUGCCCUCCCCAUGGAUGCCUUAAGCUCCACCCCCUGCCCCUCCCCCAUAUAGGCAGAACUCCAGGGAGAUGAGGAGAGAUGAUUCUCCGAAUUAACUGAAAGAUCUCUGAAGUGACACUGGAAAUGACUACACUACAUUUUUGCUGUCGGCAGAAUUGGGGGCGGGAGGUAAGUUAAGCUUAGUAACGGGGGGAAAGCUGUGUGUCUGAGAUUCGCAGACUGCAGACAUUCUUAGCUAAUACAUAAGAACCUAAUAAUAAUGCCGUGUCUCAUACAUUCAGUAAUAAUGUGAUGAUUCUUAACUGCAUAUUAUGCUGGACCCUUUGGAAAACUCAGAGGCAAAUAUGCUGACAGAGGUACUCUGGGCAACUCUGGGUCCCCAAGGAAGGUGAGAGCUGCUAGGAAUUCACAGGAGUUUUCAGAAGGCUGUUAGGAAGAGAGAAGUACGUUCAGCAUCCUGCGGUUUGUUUUUAUCUGAAGCCCAGAUUCGUACAGAGAUGUCAUUAGUGCUGACUAAGGAUUUUCAAAUGAUUAUUCUCGGCCAUGAUUUACCAUACAGAG